GUGAGCGUCCUGCCGCCGUCCAGUGAAGAGAUUUCCACAAAGCAAGCAGCAACACUGAUGUGUGUGGCCAACAAGGGCUUCCCCUCAGACUGGAGUCUGAACUGGAAGGUGGACGGGAUCAGCAGCAGGUCUCAGUACAGCAGUGUUGCUCUCCUGGAGAAGGACGGUCUGUACAGCUGGAGCAGCAGUCUGACUCUCUCUGAGCAGGAGUGGAGCUCAGUGAUCUCAGUCAGCUGUGAGCUCACACAGAAAGACCAGCGUGAUAAAGUCACUGGAGAAUUGAGGAGAGAUCAGUGUUCACAGUAGAUCCACUCACUCUCUCCUCUGUCUCACAUCAAGACUAACAGACUAACUGUGUUUCUCUCUCUCAUCUCACAUCUCUU